GCGAAAGUGCUGCUAAUACCUGAUGAUACCUCCGCGUCGCUUGGCGUGGAGAUCCAAGGUGGGGACCGCAAGGCCUACCGGUCUGGGAGCGGCCCAUGUCCUAUCAGCUUGUUGGUGAGGUAACGGCUCACCAAGGCGCCGACGGGUAGCGGGACUGAGAGGUUGGCCCGCCAGGAUCGGGACUGAGACACUGCCCGGACACCUACGGGUGGCUGCAGUAACGAAUAUUGGGCAAUGGGCGCAAGCCUGACCCAGCAAUGCCGCGUGCAGGAGGAAGCCCUUCGGGGUGUAAACUGCUGUCAGGGGUUCGCAAGCAAUGGACGUUAAUAGCGUCCGGCGUUGAGCAGCCCCAGAGGAAGCCUCGACUAACUCUGUGCCAGCAGUCGCGGUAAUACAGAGGAGGCAAGCGUUGUUCGGAAUCACUGGGCUUAAAGAGGGUGUAGGCGGCUUGGCAAGUGUCCUGUGAAAGCCCACGGCUCAACCGUGGAAUUGCAGGGCAAACUGCCUGGCUUGAGUUCGGUAGAGGUGCCUGGAACUCUCGGUGGAGCGGUGAAAUGCGUAGAUAUCGAGAGGAAUGCCGGAGGCGAAAGCGGGGCACUGUGCCGACACUGACGCUGAGACCCGAAAGCGUGGGGAGCAAACAGGAUUAGAUACCCUGGUAGUCCACGCCGU
rnacentral:rRNA from 1 species